rnacentral:rRNA from 1 species
AACGAACGCUGGCGGCAGGCUUAACACAUGCAAGUCGAGCGCCCCGCAAGGGGAGCGGCAGACGGGUGAGUAACGCGUGGGAAUCUACCCAUCACUACGGAAUAACGCAUGGAAACGUGUGCUAAUACCGGAUACGUCCUUCGGGAGCAAGAUUUAUCGGAGAUGGAUGAGCCCGCGUUGGAUUAGCUAGUUGGUGGGGGAAAGGCCUACCAAGGCGACGAUCCAUAGCUGGUCUGAGAGGAUGAUCAGCCACACUGGGACUGGGACACGGCCCAGACUCCUACGGGAGGCAGCAGUGGGGAAUAUUGGACAAUGGGCGCAAGCCUGAUCCAGCCAUGCCGCGUGAGUGAUGAAGGCCCUAGGGUUGUAAAGCUCUUUCACCGGUGAAGAUAAUGACGGUAACCGGAGAAGAAGCCCCGGCUAACUUCGUGCCAGCAGCCGCCGUAAUAC